rnacentral:rRNA from 1 species
CCUACGGGAGGCAGCAGUGGGGAAUAUUGCACAAUGGGGGAAAGCCUGAUGCAGCGACGCCGCGUGAGCGAUGAAGUAUUUCGGAAUGUAAAGCUCUAUCAGCAGGGAAGAAAAUGACGGUACCCGACUAAGAAGCCCAGGCUAACUACGUGCCCGCAGCCGCGGUAAUACGUAGGGGGCAAGCGUUAGCCGGAUUUACUGGGUGUAAAGGGAGCGUAGACGGCGGUGCAAGCCAGAUGUGAAAGCUCGGGGCGCAACCCGGGGACUGCAUUUGGAACUGUGCUGCUAGAGUGUCGGAGAGGCUGGCGGAAUUCCUAGUGUAGCGGUGAAAUGCGUAGAUAUUAGGAGGAACACCAGUGGCGAAGGCGGCCUGCUGGACGAUGACUGACGUUGAGGCUCGAAAGCGUGGGGAGCAAACAGGAUUAGAUACCCUAGUAGUC